rnacentral:rRNA from 1 species
AGCGAACGUUAGCGGCGCGCCUAACACAUGCAAGUCGCACGAGAAAGGGGAAACCCCGGUACAGUGGCGCACGGGUGAGUAACACGUGGAUUACCUGCCCUGGAGUGGUGGAUAACCUGCCGAAAGGUGGGCUAAUACAGCAUGAGACCACGCGAUUUCGAUCGUGAGGUCAAAGCGGGCCUCUGUUUACAAGCUCGCGCUCUGGGAUGGGUCCGCGGCCCAUCAGCUAGUCGGUAGGGUAAUGGCCUACCAAGGCAACGACGGGUAGCUGGUCGGAGAGGAUGAUCAGCCACACUGGAACUGGAACACGGUCCAGACUCCUACGGGAGGCAGCAGUGGGGAAUCUUGCGCAAUGGACGAAAGUCUGACGCAGCGACGCCGCGUGGGUGACGAAGGCCUUCGGGUUGUAAAGCCCUGUGGGGGGAGACGAACCGGCACGUAGCUAACAUCUACGGGCCUUGACGGUAUCCCUUUAGCAAGCAUCGGCUAACUCUGUGCCAGCCGCCGCGGUAAUAC